GUAAGACUUGCACAGAUUUGUAAAGAGACCAAAACUCCUUUUGGAGACAUGUGUUAUACUCCUGAAAACUCCCAUGAGUGGAUUACAAGGAAGGCAUGGGGAUUGUUGCAUCUUCCAGGAGAGCAGGAUGGGGAGACAAAGCGAAGACCGAAAGGACAUUAAAACAGAUGGAGAGAAAGGAAUAAAGUCAGAGUUGGUGGCCAGAUUUGUUUAAGAGAUCAC